AAACUGAGGCUAAUAGUGGAUCAUCACACUCACACUGGAAUGUCGAGUGUGUCAAACGCUCCGGCGCCGAAGGAUGUGGCUGCGGCCGAUUAGGUAGACGGUGGGGUAACGGCCCACCGUGCCAAUAAUCGGUACGGGUCAUGAGAGUGAGAACCCGGAGACGGAAUCUGAGACAAGAUUCCGGGCCCUAUCGGGGCGCAGCAGGCGCGAAACCUUUACACUGCACGCCAGUGCGAUAAGGGGAUCCCAAGUGCGUAGGCAUAGAGCCUGCGCUUUUGUCCACCCUAGGGAGGUGGACGAAAUAAGGGCUGGGCAAAGACCGGAUGCCAGCCGGCCGCGGUAAUACCGGCAGCCCGAGUGAUGGCCGAUCCUUAUUGGGCCUAAAGCGUCCGUAGCU
rnacentral:rRNA from 1 species